UCCACAGGCCGACGCUCUAUCCACUGAGCCAAACCGGUUUCGGCCAUACUACAUUCUUAAGUUUGAAUGUAUUUCUAGUCUGUUGGCCUACCAAGUCAUUCAUGCACCAAAAUGACACUUUUAAUUAUUAUAGUUUUGUGUGUCUUAAUAUCUGUUGGGGAUUCAACACCAGCUGCUUUGCUCCCAGUAGCUCCCACCUAUAAUUUUUCCUAUGUGAACUCAUGUUAAAGUUUGUUUUUUUAACCCCAUUGGUAUGUCCUUACUGGGACAGCAUUCAAUUUUCUAUUUAAUGCAGGAAGACUGACAACUUUGUGUUACUGACUGCUCCUGUUCAAGAACUUGGUCUAUCUUUGCAUUUGUUCAAGUUUUCUGUGUCCUUCAUAGUAUUUUCAAGAUUUCUUUGGACCUUGUACAUCUCCUGUUAACUCCUGGCUGUUAUUUUAAGAUUAAAACUUUUUAAAGAGAUGGAGGUUGGCAUUUUUCAGGUCAAACGUUCUGGAUCCUCAAACAGACGCUCCCUAUUUAGGACAGUGAAGAAGCCUGAAGUUGGCCAGCAGAUCUGCCCGAGUGACCUUGGGCCCCUUUCACAUCCUGCUUCUUGCUGCAAAUUCCUAUGCAAUCGACAGUCUCCAAUUGCAUCUCUCUGCAACUAAAAAAGAAAAUACAGCUCCCCUUUUCUCCACCCUCCCACACAGUCCCUUCUAACAAAGUGAUCCAGUUCUAAGCCCGCCAGCUAGAAGCCAUCUUUGAGGGAUAGUGCCUGCGACACGGCCUGGUCCCUUAGAGAUGAACAUGAAUCGUCUCACGUCGGCUGGGUCUGGGUGAGUCCCCUCCUCUACGUCUAGUCUGAUGACUACCCACCUCGCUGGGCCAUUGAGAGCAGCCGCUGGGUUCCCUGAUGGGACAGCACCUGGCGGGGGGCGGCUUCCUGGGCACCACCCUCGCCUUCUAGGACUUUAACUCCUCCUUGCUGUUCUGAACCUUCCAGUCGAGACACUAAAGUAUUUCCCAACCAGUGUUUUCCUUGGUGGCUGAGGAGCUCUCCUGGUUCCCCAUCAAUGUCGGUGAGCUGCAGACCACUCCCAGAGGGUUAGUUUCCUGAGAACUGCACUGACCUGGCUCCCCCAGCUCCCGGUUCCUGGGCCACGGCAGAGGCUCCCAUGAGGGGCGGUCUCAAGAGAUCAGGUCCUGAAGCAGAACGAGUCCGUGCGAGGCCAUGUCCAUCUGCUUCCUGACAGGCUCAGUGUCACUCAAAUGGAGCAAAGAGGGCUUCUUCCAGGGCCCAGGCGCACAGGCUGGUCAAUUCUUCUCUGACACCCCGCUGACGUGGCACCUGCGUCCUCACAAAUACUUGGGUGGUAACAUGCCCAGAGCCCUCUGCGCAUGUAACAACUCCUGUGUUGUUCUGCGAUCCUGUUCACAGCUGCCCCGUUCAGCAGGCCGGAAGUUCCUGGGGUCUCUCGAGUCUCCUCGGAGCCCAGCACCCAGCACAGGCGCUGGCAGGAGGAGCACUCUGCUGUGGUGGUGUUCACGCCGGUCCCGGCUCAGGCUCUGUGUGUUCUUACUUAAACUAUUAAACAUGCAAACGUUUGAGUGAGAAGAGACUCAAAAUAUUUUAUUUCCCACAGAGAAAUCGCUUGCCCAAAGAAUCGAAGAGAAAUAAGUAUAAACAAAACUAUGCUCUGAGCUGUGAAAAAUGCCAAUGUUUAUCAAUACAUCUACAUAACAGCUCAAUGUUCCCCCAGGGUUACCUUGGUAAGCCUCCAAAAAGCCAGAGACAGGAAGGGUGAAAACAUGAGGCCAACAAUUCAAAACCUUUUCAUCUUUUUUUUUUAUUUUAAAUUACAAAGGAUGUUGCAUACACAGAUGAGUCUGUAUCUGACUAGAAGUGCCGAGGGGUUGGAAGGUGACAGAGAACAAAGGCAACAUUGGAAUUGCCUUUUCUUCUGAAAAGAAAAACUGCACAGCUAUUAACCAACAUUUAAUAGAAUAAAUUUUAAACAGCUCAUGCGUCAACAAGAUAAAAUUCUUUCUAGACAAAAGACAAGACUGAAUCCAAUAAAGUUUCAUAGCUCCAGUUGUGGGGGUGUGGGGUAGGGGACAGGGGAACAAAACGACAGAAUCUGAUAGCAUUACAAACAGGAUCCUAUGCGGCUA